rnacentral:rRNA from 1 species
GACGAACGCUGGCGGCGUGCCUAACACAUGCAAGUCGAACGGAACUGUUUUGAAAGAUUUCUUCGGAAUGAAUUUGAUUUAGUUUAGUGGCGGACGGGUGAGUAACGCGUGAGUAACCUGCCUUCAAGAGGGGGAUAACAUUCUGAAAAGAAUGCUAAUACCGCAUGACAUAUCGGAAUCACAUGGUUCUGAUAUCAAAGAUUUUAUCGCUUGAAGAUGGACUCGCGUCCGAUUAGUUAGUUGGUGAGGUAACGGCUCACCAAGACCGCGAUCGGUAGCCGGACUGAGAGGUUGAACGGCCACAUUGGGACUGAGACACGGCCCAGACUCCUACGGGAGGCAGCAGUGGGGGAUAUUGCGCAAUGGGGGCAACCCUGACGCAGCAACGCCGCGUGAAGGAUGAAGGUUUUCGGAUUGUAAACUUCUUUUAUUAAGGACGAAAAAUGACGGUACUUAAUGAAUAAGCUCCGGCUAA